UUACGGCUACAUCACAUUGAAAACACCGAUCCCCGUAUGAGCACCGAAGUUAAGCAAUGUCAACCCUGGUCAGUAACUAGAUGGGUAACCGCUUAGGAAUACCAGGUGCGGUA